CCUACGGGCGGCAGCAGUGGGGAAUAUUGGACAAUGGGCGAAAGCCUGAUCCAGCCAUGCCGCGUGUGUGAAGAAGGCCUUCGGGUUGUAAAGCACUUUCAGUGGGGAAGAAAGCCUUGGGGCUAAUACCCUCGAGGAAGGACAUCACCCACAGAAGAAGCACCGGCUAACUCCGUGCCAGCAGCCGCGGUAAUACGGAGGGUGCGAGCGUUAAUCGGAAUUACUGGGCGUAAAGCGCGCGUAGGCGGUCUGAUAAGCCGGUUGUGAAAGCCCCGGGCUCAACCUGGGAACGGCAUCCGGAACUGUCAGGCUAGAGUGCAGGAGAGGAAGGUAGAAUUCCCGGUGUAGCGGUGAAAUGCGUAGAGAUCGGGAGGAAUACCAGUGGCGAAGGCGGCCUUCUGGACUGACACUGACGCUGAGGUGCGAAAGCGUGGGUAGCAAACAGGAUUAGAUACCCUUGUAGU
rnacentral:rRNA from 1 species